AGAUGUGAGGGCAAUCUGGCUGUGACAACUGUCACCCCAUUGAUCACCAGGGUUGAUUCAGCUGAUCUGGCUGGCUAGGCCCGUCUCCCCUUCCUCCCUCACCAUUCCAUGUGUAUCCCUCCCAAAGCUAUGUACUCCGUUGAAGAGAACAACCUUCCUGGAUAGAGGAGGACUGUUCUUCGGUCAAGGGUAUACAAGUAGCUGCCCUCCCCUGCUAGAAACUCCAAACAAGCUCUCGAGAAAGUGAAAAGACAACCUACGUUAUAGAAAAAAAUAACCGCAAAUCAUAUACAUGAUAAGGGUCAGU
ensembl:misc_RNA 7SK 7SK RNA